rnacentral:rRNA from 1 species
GCAGUCGGGCGGAUGCAUGGGGCUUCGUUGCUUGAUUCCUCGGCACAGGGGGAAGGGUGGCUAAUGUAUGGGGAUGGGCCUGGGGGACAACGUUUCGAAAGGAACGCUAAUACCGCAUACGUCCUACGGGAGAAAGCAGGGGACCUUCGGGCCUUGCCUAUCAGAUGAGCCUAGUCGGAUUAGCUAGUUGUGAGGUAAGGCUCCCAAGGCGACGAUCCGUAACUGGUCUGAGAGGAUGAUCAGUCACACUGGAACUGAGACACGGUCCAGACUCCUACGGAGGCAGCAGUGGGGAAUAUUGGACAAUGGGCGAAAGCCUGAUCCAGCCAGCCGCGUGUGUGAAGAAGGUCUUCGGAUUGUGGUUGUAAUUUACUUUCGAUCAGGGGGAAGGUGUUAAGGCCAAGAUCCUUGGACAUUGCCGUUACAAACAGAACCGGCACCGUCCAAGUCCGUGCCCGCGGCCAUACUAAUGCUGAGGGUGUUAACCUUAAUUACAAUUACUAAACCUAAAGCACAUGCUUGCUUUAGAUUGAUGUGAAUGUCCCAUCCCCGAGCUUGGCCCUGCAAUCGCAUCUGAUACGGGUCAGCUUGGGUCAUGGAGAUGGAGUUACCAUUCUAUGUGUAACGUUCAUAUGCGUAGAAAUGUGCACGAAUACCGAUGGCGAACGCCUCCCCCUAUACAGACACUGACGUGCAAAUGCGUGAGCAUGAGGAACGAACAGGAACACAGAUCCUGCACGUCCUAACGAAAACGAUUUCCACUUGGAAGUCGUGACAUCUAAGUGUCCCACCCCAAGCUAUAACUCUAACUCCACCGCAUUACGGGUGCACGCUCAAGGCUCAAACUCAUUUAAAUUGACCGGCGCCCGCACUAGCGCUGGAGCUUGUAUUUUUAUUUAGAUCCAACACGCAAAACCCUCCCUUGACCUUCAACAGCACUUAUCACUUAGAUAGAUAUGUGGCUGGUGGCGAUC